GUGGGAGGCCUCUGGGGGCAAAGUAAUGAAUAAAAUAGUCCUCGCAAAUCUUGACAAAAAGAAGUGAAACCAACAGGAACCAUGAGAGACGGUCUAAAUCAGGUUAUCAGGUUCCCUCUUAUUCUCCUAUGGAACACCCUGCCUUUUUUUUUUUUUUCUCCUUCGUAGGCUUUAACUCUGUUUCUAGUUAAAUAGGCAUCUGUGUGAUUGUUUGUGUCAGUGUCCAUCUGCUCUGACAGAACUGUGUCUCUGCUGUUCAGGCUGUCAGCCCAGGGCCUGCCCCAGAGCUGUGGAGUGAAUGAGACUGGCUUGUGGCCCAAGGCUCCAAGGAUCAGGAUCUCUGUAAUAUGUGAGUUCCUGUCCAUGAGAGCUGACUUGCACAGUCUUGAGAGCCCCUGGGGACAUUUUGCCUGGGCUCCAGGAACUGUAAGUAUUGUUUUAACCUCCCUCUAUAGAGUGAGCCAGGGGCCCAGCUCCAUUGCUGCCAGGGGCUGGGAGUUUGCAGGGCCUCCCUCUCCUCCUUAAACCUCUUUCCUGCUGUUGCUGGGCAGAGUAGGCAGGGAAGGAGGGAGCAGAGGCUGAGCAAGCUGUUUGUUCAGAGGGGAUUGGUUAGACCAGGUGCAGAUGCCUUGGGCUGCCAAGGAUGUGAUUGGCUGCUGGCCCCCUCCCCCUACUCCAUCUUCCCUCUGCAGAGCCUGGAGGCUGGAACAGCUGAGGGACGUGGAGGGGGGAGCUGGGAGGGCCCCCAGGACCAGUGUCAGCUCAGCCUAGGGAAGUAUGGGGCUUGCUGAGGGUCUGUGCUGCUCAGUAGCCAGAAGGAAGCGCUGCCUUGGGACAACCAGCUUUGUUCUCCUCUCUGCCAUUCAGGUACUCUCUGAUCACAAGGCUGGACAUACUACCUCCUCCUCUCUCAGGGGGGAAGAAGGCUAAGGAAGGAUAUCUUACUCUUUCCCUCCACUCCAGCCUUUGAGUUAAUUCACAAGUGCAUGUGCAGGCUCUGUCUCCACUUUCUCCUGGCACUCUACAGCAGGUCUCCAAAGCCUGAGUCGUCCACCCUGCAACUGCCCAAGCCCACGGCAGAGCCCAGCUGCCCUGCUAUUCCUCCCAUAACCUGGGACAAUCCCCAUUGGCCCCAAUCCCAUCAGAACUUCAAACCAUCUUCUCUAAUCCCUACAGCAUGCCAAGGUAAUUAAAUCAUCACCUACAGUGGUCUCCUCACCUCCAGCUUAUUGCUUUCCACACCACAGACUGGCUUCAGCCCUCACCACACACUGACUCUUUUCUCACUAAAGGCAACAAUAACAAGUUGGUUUCCAAACUUAGUGGGUGUAUUUUGAUUCUUAUUGGACUGCAUCUCCCUGAUGUAUUUUGCAAUUGCUGAUCGAUCACUUUUGGUCCCAAGAAGAAUCCUUUGUCCUGGGAAUCUGAGGUGGUGAACUCUCCUUAUCCUCCUACCAGCUCUCUGGCCCAUUUGCUUCAGUCUCUUUCUUGAGCUCCAUUUUCUCCCUCUGUCCCUUAAGCAGUGCUUCCUGAUACUUUUUCAGCCAUGGCAUGCAAAGAAAAUGAUUAUGCUGGUGUAGCACAAUGGAGGGAAGUGGUGGGGAUAUAGAGCUCUGAGCAGACUGCUGGCAGCUGGUGGGGCUGCACACCCUGAGAGCUGAGGAGAUCAAUAGCUGCUGGACUGGGAAGCUGUGCUAACUUAGCAGUUGCCAUCCUGGAUCUGCUCUUCUGGCUCAAUACAUUCUCCCUGGGUCACUUCCCUAACUCCCGUACUUUCAGUCUCUGAAUCUCCACAAUGACCUAAGACCUCUUUCUCCAGUCCAAUGCUCUCCACUCUUCCCCCUCCACAAUUGCAUAGCUGCUCACUGUUGGACCCAUCCCCAUGGAUGUCUGAAGAUGCCUCCAAUGUAUUCUGCCCAAACAAUGAGUUCAUAUAUUUCCGCCAUCCUGCCCUUGUGUGCCUUUGUCAU
rnacentral:lncRNA from 12 species